CUCUACGUAAAUUGUUGUUCAUCGCGAAAGCUGUUUUUCAUUCCGUGAGGACAAACGCAUUCUACGUGCGUCCGGUGAAACUCGACAAUGUGUAACAUACAGGAUAUCGAACACUACAGUUAUAACAAAUAUAUAUGCGUGUCGCAGUCUGUGUCGUAUAUCACGUAUCGGGUUCUGAUUGCGAUACACCGUCUUUUCUUCUUUUUCGUCACAAGGAAUUCUGUCCGCCACGCGAAACAUGCCCCCGUUCGUCUAUGUAAAACACAAUGACCGAUGUCCACAUACUUUUGGCUCCAUCUACGUCCAAGCGAUUACGCGAAUAUUCAAUCUUAGAAUUUCUAAUGACAUUUCUGUAACCUGUCUUUCAAACAGCUACAAAAUUUAAUAUAAUGACAUUUGGUUUGAAGUUGUGUUUGAAGUUAUUUGUUCUCGAACACAUUAACAAAGAGACGAAUGUGAUGAAUUUCAAUCUCGACAAGUUGCACUCACUCGUACAUAUGUACGUACAUGUAUUCCGAUAGUGACCUACAUAGAUCUACAACGUGAUCGAUGGUGGAUUAUUGUAUUAUCUUCUAAAAGUUUCCGGAUAUAAGAGAAAGUCUAUGUAAAUGGACACAGAAUUGUUCGGUAAAUGAUCAUCGUAAACAGAAGAGCAAAUGCGAAAAUAAUAAUCUCGUUAUACGAACACGAUUUUGGGAAAACUUUCAAAGUUUUUAAACGUUGGAAUAUUUUAAGUCGACUUGAGACUCGGU